GUGGAUGAGUGGCGAACGGGUGAGUAACACGUGAGUAACCUGCCCCUGACUUCGGGAUAAGCCCGGGAAACUGGGUCUAAUACCGGAUACGACUGCCGGACGCAUGUCUGGUGGUGGAAAGUUUUUUCGGUUGGGGAUGGGCUCGCGGCCUAUCAGUUUGUUGGUGAGGUAAUGGCUCACCAAGACGACGACGGGUAGCCGGCCUGAGAGGGCGACCGGCCACACUGGGACUGAGACACGGCCCAGACUCC
rnacentral:rRNA from 1 species